rnacentral:tRNA from 1 species
GCCGGUGUGGCUCAGUGAAUAGAGCGUCGGCCUGUGGACUGAAGGUCGUGGGUUCAAUUUCCAUCAAGGGCA